rnacentral:tRNA from 1 species
GGAAAUGUGCCCGAAAGCUAGGAAUCUCCUUGAUAGGGAGAA